AUUGAACGCUGGCGGCAGGCUUAACACAUGCAAGUCGAACGAGCGGCGGACGGGUGAGUAAUGUAUGGGAACGUGCCUGAUGGCGGGGGAUAACUACUGGAAAGGGUAGCUAAUACCGCAUACCAUUAGAGGGGCCGAGAUGGGAUUAGCUAGUAGGUGGGGUAAAGGCUCACCAAGGCGACGAUCCAUAACUGGUUGGAGAGGAUGACCAGCCACACUGGAACUGAGACACGGUCCAGACUCCUACGGGAGGCAGCAGUGGGGAAUUUUGUCCAAUGGGCGCAAGCCUGAUGCAGCCAUGCCGCGUGUGUGAUGAAGGCCUUCGGGUUGUAAAGCACUUUUAGCAGUGAAGCGGUAUUUGCAGAAUAAGCACCGGCUAACUACGUGCCAGCAGCCGCGGUAAUAC
rnacentral:rRNA from 1 species